UACGUAGGGGGCAAGCGUUGUCCGGAUUUAUUGGGCGUAAAGAGCGUGUAGGCGGCUUUACAGGUCCGUUGUGAAAACUCGAGGCUCAACCUCGAGACGCCGGUGGAAACCGUAAAGCUAGAGUCCGGAAGAGGAGAGUGGAAUUCCUGGUGUAGCGGUGAAAUGCGCAGAUAUCAGGAGGAACACCCGUGGCGAAAGCGGCUCUCUGGGACGGUACUGACGCUGAGACGCGAAAGCCAGGGGAGCGAACGGG
rnacentral:rRNA from 1 species